rnacentral:lncRNA from 1 species
GAGAAAAUAAGAUUAAGGGUCUAUUUGGUAGAGCUCCAUCUAGUUCUGAUUCUUUAUGGUAGCUGAUUCUAUGAGAGAAUGAUUCUAUGACUGGAAGUGAUUCUCUUUGAUUCUCUAGCAUAAACUCUUAAAAUCAUGAUGGAGAAUCACUUCACAUAAUCAGGAGAAGCUACUAUUUUUCAGCGCCCAGCCUCUUAGUUCAUUUCAGAGAAUCACUCCACAGAAUCAGCAGAGGGUCACUUUUCUCUGAAAAACUGUUUGGCAGAGCUCCUGCUGAAUUCAACGGAGAAUCACCCUAAUAGCAGAGUUGGUUGGCUUGAUAUCCCAAUCACAUAUACUUAAUGAUGGUACCUUAAUUGCUACGAGUAUACUGGCCUGUUGCGUCAUUGGUUUAUUCAUAAUCUCUUGGUCAAAUUUCCAUACUCUCUUGGUCAUAUUGAUAUCGGACGUUAAUGGUGGAGUACACUAGAAAGAGAAGCGAUCGAGUUGGUUCGUCGGGCCAAAAGGAGUUCUAGCUAGCUCUAGAGUUAUUGGUAUGGUGCAGACCUCCACCUCUGAUAAGCUACAGGAGUCAAGAGAUAGAAUGGCAUAUCUUGUCCUUCUUCUCUCGUUUCUAUUUUGAUGCCUGAUCAACCUCAGCUUCUUUGGUCAGUUCAUCAUGUUCUGUUAUUUUGGACAUCCGUUGUUUAUGGCACGUGGCUCGGCAAUCAGAAAGUGGGUGUGGCUUUGUAUGAGCUGCUCGAUCUCUAAGGAGGGGUGCGAAUUGGCGUGCUUGGGUCCGAAGAGGGUUGGUAAAGAUCUUUAGAGGCACUAAUUCAUUUUUUUUAAAAAAAAAGAGUUCUUACUAGAUCAUUUUAGUUGUCUGAAAUGUCAGAUUUUACUGAUCAGUGAGUACUCCUGCUUCUUAUCCAUUUUUUUUGUAGGCAGAAGGGGUUAAGUGAUGCGCAGAUUUCAAUGGCGCACACAUGGGGUUUUGAUCGGCUGUUGGCUG